AUGGCGCCAGACAGCUCGACCACCCUGCGCUCGUCCAUCCAGCCGCAUCCAUCGUCGAUAUGCAGCUGCACCAUGCCGCCACCACUCGUCGUCAAUGACGCGGUAGAUACAACGCCGCACCACCUGGCAACCUCCACACCAUCGCCACUGCUGGAGCCACUCAGAGCCCACCAUCCACAACAUCUCUCCCCCGAACAGCAGUUCCUCCCAAGACGGCGCCUCCAUGGAGGAUACGACGCGCAGGACGCCGCCGCCGCCCAAUCCAGACUGAAUUUUGGACGUUCGUCCGGGAGGGGUUCGGGGGUGGAUAGGGGGGACCUCGGCUUCGCCUCCAGGAAGGGUAACGGCGUCAAGUGA
rnacentral:rRNA from 1 species